CCUACGGGAGGCUGCAGUCGAGAAUCAUUCACAAUGGGGGAAACCCUGAUGGUGCGACGCCGCGUGGGGGAAUGAAGGUCUUCGGAUUGUAAACCCCUGUCAUGUGGGAGCAAAUUAAAAAGAUAGUACCACAAGAGGAAGAGACGGCUAACUCUGUGCCAGCAGCCGCGGUAAUACAGAGGUCUCAAGCGUUGUUCGGAAUCACUGGGGGUAAAGCGUGCGUAGGCUGUUUCGUAAGUCGUGUGUGAAAGGCGCGGGCUCAACCCGCGGAUGGCACAUGAUACUGCGAGACUAGUGUAAAGGAGGGGGAACCGGAAUUCGGGGUGUAGCAGUGAAAUGCGUAGAUAUCGAGAGGAACACUCGUGGCGAAGGCAGGUUCCUGGACAUUAACUGACGCUGAGGCACGAAGGCCAGGGGAGCGAAAGGGAUUAGAUACCCCUGUAGUC
rnacentral:rRNA from 1 species